rnacentral:rRNA from 1 species
AAAUUUGAAAUCUGGCGUUUGCCCGAGUUGUAAUUUGUAGAGGAUGCUUCUGGCCAGCGGCCGUUCUAAGUUCCUUGGAACAGGACGUCAUAGAGGGUGAGAAUCCCGUAUGUGACCGGCGCGCAGCCUUUACGUAGCUCCUUCGACGAGUCGAGUUGUUUGGGAAUGCAGCUCUAAAUGGGAGGUAAAUUUCUUCUAAAGCUAAAUACCGGCCAGAGACCGAUAGCGCACAAGUAGAGUGAUCGAAAGAUGAAAAGCACUUUGGAAAGAGAGUUAAAAAGCACGUGAAAUUGUUGAAAGGGAAGCGCUUGCAACCAGACUUCGUAGCGAUGUUCCGCUGGUCUUCUGACCGGUCUACUCAUCGUCGCGAGGCCAACAUCGUCUGGGCCCGCUGGAUAAGACCUAAGGAAUGUAGCUUCCCUCGGGAAGUGUUAUAGCCUGUGGUGAUGCAGCGCGGCUCGGGCGAGGUCCGCGCUUCGGCAAGGAUGUUGGCGUAAUGGUUGUCAGCGGCCCGUCUUGAAACACGGACCAAGGAGUCUAACAUCUAUGCGAGUGUUCGGGUGUCAAACCCCUACGCGUAAUGAAAGUGAACGGAGGUGGGAAGCGCAAGCUGCACCAUCGACCGAUCCUGAUGUCCUCGGAUGGAUUUGAGUAAGAGCAUAGCUGUUGGGACCCGAAAGAUGGUGAACUAUGCCUGAAUAGGGUGAAGCCMGAGGAAACUCUGG